UACAGAGACCUCAAGCGUUAUCCGGAAUCAUUGGGCGUAAAGCGUACCGAUAGGUGGUUUAGAAAGUCAGAAGUGAAAUCUUAAAGCUCAACUUUGAGACUGUCUUUUUGAAAACUUCUAAACUAGAGGGGCAAAGAGGAAGCUGGAACGAACGGUGUAGUAGUGAAAAUGCGUUGAUAUCGUUCGGAACACCAAUAGCGUAGGCAGGCUUCUGGGUGCCACCUGAC
rnacentral:rRNA from 1 species